AUAGAUAUUUAAUUAUUUCAUAUAGGAAGUAAGGGUCUUCAAGCUUGGUGCAAUGAUUCAGAAAUGCCAGCGAAAACCCAGCUUCUUUUUAUGUUUCUGCUUCACUAUUCUUAGCUUGUUGUUUGCAUGCCAUGCUCUUUCCUCAUGGUUGAAAGCUAGCUGCUGCAGCCAGCCCAAGGUAUCACAUCCAAGAAAAGGAGAGGAAGGCUGGGCGCAGUGGGUCACGCCUGUAAUCCUAGCACUUUGGGAGGCCAAGGUGGGCAGAUCGCUUGAGGUCAGGAGUUCGAGACCAGCCUGGCCAACAUGGUGAAACCCCGUCUCUACUAAAAAUACAAAAAUCAGCUGGGCAUGGUGUUGCAGGCCUGUAGUUCCAGCUACUCAGGAGGCUGAGGUGGGAGGAUUGCUUGAACCUGGGAGGUGGAGGUUGCAGUGAGCCAAGAUUGCAUCACUGCACUCCAGCCUGGGAGACAGCUGUGUCUCAAAAAGAAAAAGAGAGACAGAAGAGGGAAAUUAAUAAUAAUAAUAAACACCCCUUCAGGUGAAGAACUCAUUGCAGGUGAUCCAAGAACCCCACACUGAGAAAUUCUGCCCUGUGGUGUGAUCACCUGAUUGGAUGCUCAUUCUCAUCUCAGAUGCUUUUGCAUUGUGAAAACUCCUUCGAGGAAAAAGUGAUGCCCCAGUGGCAGAAUUCCAUGUGCCUGUGGGGCUAGGCGGGGGAGGGAGAAGGCUUCCUGGCACCUCAGGUCACGUCACAGAACUUCAGAGCUGGAAGGGACCCUGAAAGAUCCUCCUGCCAACCAAUCACACAGAUGGGGAAACUGAGGCCCAGGGCAGACCAGUGAUUUCCUCACAGUCAUGUAGUGGAGCCAGGGCCAGGGCCAAGGAGUCCUGGCUCUGAGCCCUGUUGGUGCUCUGGGGCGGUGCUCAGAAGGGAGGCUUGGGCCAGGAAAUAUGGGGUCUUAGGUGGACUCCCAGAAGCAGACUCUGAGACCGAACUCCAUUCAAAUGAUCUGCUGUGGAGGUUUGGAGGAGAAGGGGAGUGAGAGAAGUAGGGUAGGGAAGGGGGUGAAGGCGAAGCUGGAAUGUGGUCUCAGCUGGAGUCCCACAGUAGCCUUAUUCCCCGGGGAUUCUGGAGCAUAGAGAGCGUCACACAGUUACUCCCGCUCUUGUACCACCAUGGAAGUCAGCCACAGUGUGCCCAGGUUUUGGCAGGCAGAGCGUGGCCUUCCACGUGGCGGUGGCUCUCGUUUGGCUAAGGACACAUCUCCAGUGAAGGGGCAGCUGUGGGGCAUUAGCAGUGACACCCCCUUCCCCCCAGCAGCUGGGGGACAGGUAACUGCAGACUAGAAGGAAAAUACACAGGUCUCUUCCCCAGAGCCACGAGUCAUCCCUGGUAUUGUCAGCACAGAACAGUGUCCAGGGGCAUAGGCAGUCCCGCCUGCCACCUCAGUUUCCCUGUUCAUGAAAUGGGCGUGCAGGACCAAGGGCAGCCAGGCUCCCUUCAAGCUCUGCCUUUCUGAACUCCUGGGAUUCUGCUUCCACCUCUCCCCAAAGUUCCACUCAGGCCUCCCCCUGCCCCAGACUCCCCACUUCCCCAAGCAGGGGAAGAACCACUGAGACCGAAGUUGGGUCCCCACUCUGUCAGGCCUGAACCCCACGAAUAGGCAGACGCAACAGUUUCUCGGGGUGUGUACCUCCCUUGCCUGCCAGUGGGCCUACGGAGUCAGUAUUUCUCAAAAUGUAAGUACAGAGACCACACCAGGCUGUCGGUAAAUUCAUUAUCCCAUUACGUGGGCCUGAAUUAUUCAGUGCUCUUGAGGCUGCUUCAGUAACCUGCCCAAGCACAGUCAAUGCUGGUGUGAGCAGACUGGAUGGAGUCAGGCCAGGCCCGGGGCAGGAUGGGUGCCAGUGUGACGGAUCUGGGCCCAGAGAGGCUGCCAGGGCUGGAAGGCACAGGAGGCUUUGGCUGGCAGGGCCUGGGCCCCAGGUGUUCCUGGGGCAGGGGAGGGGGUUGUGCACCAAAGCCCAGUCCUUCUCACCCCCAGGAAAUCAGCAGGGUGUGCCUUUGGGGCCCCACUGGCUCCUAAAAGCCCAGGGACAGAAGAUCUAGGCUCCACUUCUUCCUGGCUGCGUGACCUCCAGCAGGUCAUGCACCCCUCUGAGCCUUAGUUUCUUCAUCCGUGAAAUGCAGCAAUGAUGCUAAAGUUUCCAUCUCCAUUCUCCCCUGUAAGAGUAGAGCUGAUUUUUUCAUUGAGCUCAUAAUCACUGGAAUAAAGACCUUUUCUUGGCUGAGGUGUUGCUGUGUGACUAAAUGCCAGUCAAAGGGAGGCAAGCAGGAGCUCCCUGUGAAACAUUCAGCAAGGAUCCUUAAAGGAAGGGGUGAGUCCUGUGCUGUCCCUUGCCUUUUCCCUGAAAACUGGAGUGAGGUGUAAGGCCAGAGCUCAAACAGCUAUCUUACUCAAUGAGGAGAAGUCACAUGAUGAGGAUGGCAUGUCCUCCAGGAUAGUUCAGUGGUUAGGAACUGUGGGCCCUGAAACCAGAGGACCUGGCUUCAAAUCCCUGCUCUACCACUUAUAAGCUGUGCAACUUGGGGCAAGUGGCUUAGCCUCUCUAUGCUUCAGCUUUCUCCUCUGUAAGACAGGGAUAAAAGUGGUACCUCCCCCCUUACAGGGCUGACUUGAGGAGUAAGUGGGUUAAUAUGAAGCCUCGUCCCAUGGGGAAUAAGGCUUCAUAAGAAGUGGCUGGUACACAGGAAGUGUAAUAUAUGUGUCGGCUGUUAUGAUACCAUUUUAUUUCAUUUAUUUUAUUUUUAUUUUUAUUUUUUUCUUGCUACAGAGUCUCACUCUGUCACCCAGGCUGGGUUGCAGUAGCUUGAUCUCGACUCACUGCAACCUGUGCCUUCUGGGUUCAAGUGAUUCUCCUGCCUCAGCCUCCUGGGUAGCUGGGACUGCAGGUGUGCACCACCACCACACCUAGCUAAUUUUUGUAUUUUUAGUAGAGACGGUGUUUCACCAUGUUGGCCAGGAUGGUCUUGAACUCCUGACCUCAGGUGAUUCACCCGCCUCGGCCUCCCAAUGUACUUGGAUUACAGGUGUGAGCCACCAUGCCCAGCCAACGAUCCAAUAUUAAACAUCUGCAGGGCUUCGCUGUAUAGCUCAGAGAUAUGAGCCCCCCUGCCCCCCAUGUCUCCCAGAGCCUCUUGUCAGUCUGGACUUUUUCCUCGGGUGAGUGUACCCCUGGGGCAGCAAUGCCAGGGAGCUUUAUUAAGCCAGGACACAAACAGCUUUGCCUGGAGAGAAAGCCCCUAGCCUGAGCCACUGGGGGCAGGAAGCAGAGACUGGGCCUCUGGGUUGGAGUCCACAGGAGGGAUCCAGAUGAAGUUCUUGGGAAGAGAGAAAGAGAAAUAAGGUCUCCUGACUGGCCAUAGACCCCAGACAGGAGUCUCCCCUCUCUGGGCCUCUGGGAACUGGAUUAAAUCAGAGGUCACAGCUCAUAUGCCAGCAGCAUAAAGACCAAUAUAGAAAAUGAGUGAAGUUGUUUGGGUGUGAGGCAGCAGGGAGUGGUGGGGGCUGGGGCAGGGGUCCUUAACCCAUCUGAGGUGGGGGGUGGGGGGUGGGGCACCAGGCAGCCCCAGCAGACCUGCUCCGCAGCUAAGUGGGCCCCAUGUAGGCAAAUCUUUCACUGUUUCAAAAGGAAUAGAAAUUAAAUCUGAAUUCUUUGUGAAAUCUGACUGUUUAGUGUUGGCUCCAUUGAAACAAAUAAAACCCUGAGCAAGGCAAAUAAAAAUCUGUCCCCAGGCCAGCUCAGGGGCUGCCAAAUGCAAACAAGAGCUGAGAGGUCCCCCGAGCAGGGCAGGCUGCACCCUGCAGUCCACGGCUGCAUUUCCCUGCAUUUCUGCAGGGAGGGCAUAGGCUGAGCGUGGGGGUGGCAUGGAGGAAAGGGGCAAGUGGCUGGGAGUGUGUCCCUCCUGGGAGGCAGGUGCUCAGGGAGGCGAGCCUGACCACUCAGCACCUCCCUGCUGGGCUCAGGAUGGCAGUGGGGGUUGGGCAGAGGCAGGGAGUCUGCCCUGCAAUCUUCAGCCACACCCUGGCUCCCUGAACUUCAAGUUCUUCCUCUGAGAAACAGACGGAGUCUUUGGCUUCCCAGAGCUGAUGGGAGGCAAGAUGGGAAACCCUGAACUCUUAGGAAUUGAGCAAGAAUGGAUCUGCAGAGGCCCUGGGGCCAGCCAGACCUGAAGAAAAAGCAAACAGGGUUAUCCAGCACCAACUCUAAACCAUCCCUGUGGGCAUGAGCCACACUGCCUGGGGACUGGAAUAAGUUAGGACAGCUCUGAGCCUUAACUAAAAGGAUAUGUAUACAGUUAAUCAUUCCUUAAACACAAAGGGCUCCAUUUUCUCCUAGAACAGAGUGUGGAGGUAGAUGCUGCUGAUGUUGGUUCAAGGGCUUGACAAUGUCUUUGAGAACCAAUAAACCGUAUUUCCUCUUGCCAUCCUCACUGGUGUUUUUUGUUUGUUUGUUGUUAAUCCUUAACUUUGUUGCCUCAUGGCCACAAAAUGGCUGCUAUGGCUGCAAGCAUUUCAUCUUUAUACAACUCCAUUCAAGGUAAGAAGAGACUAAGCAGGAAAAGAGGAUUUCUUAUUAUCAGAAAGAAAAAUGUCCUGAGAAGCCCCCCUUUAUCUGUGGCCAGGAACGAACCACACAGUCACCCCUAGCAACUAUGUGGGUAAGAAAGUAGUAUCCUGGGAAAAGGACUAGGAUGGUUAUGGCAGCCUGAGACUGAUCAUAGUUCCCCCACAGAGUUGCACAUGUUGCUGCUUAAACAAUAUCAGGCCCAUGUUGGCAAGGCAGGAGGAGGAAUGGCUCCGAGCUGAACAGUAACAGUGUGGGCUGGAGGUCCAGGACUCCAGUGAGUUCUAUCAAUGGGAGUGGACCGGGCAGGGCUUUUAAUUAUAAGCCACAGAAGCCACUCAGUGGUAAAGGACAGAUUCUACUUUGUUGCAAACAACAGAAUUCACUUUGUUACAAACAGCAAGUUCACUUUGUUACAAACAGCAGACUCUGGGAAGACCAGAGAAGCAGGCUUGGAUGAUCCACUACCAGGAACAAUACAGCCGGGGAGCCCCACCCAAUCUCACCACAGGACUGUCCUAACUACAACACAGCUACCGCCACAGCCUGCCUCUUGGUAGAGGCUCCACCACAGCCACCCCAGUGGAAACAGGCACCUGCACCGCGUCAUACCUGCUUGCCGGGAGAUCACUCUCCUCCACGCCCAGCUAGCUCACCUUGCCCACGUUUACUUGCUUCCAAGUCUUGUGCAUCUGAUCGGUGGAAGCUAGGUCAUGUGCCUGCAGGGGAGUCUGCAAAGUGUGUUUAUCUUCUUUUGGGGGAAGGAGGGACUCACAAUGUAGUCCCGUGUCUCAAUGUGGAGAGAUAAGUGCUGCAAGGGGGCCGAGCAUGGUGGCUCAUGCCGGUAAUUCCAGCACUUUGGGAGGUCAAGGCAGGAGGAUCACUUGAGGUCAGGAGUUCAAGGCCAGCCUGGCCAACAUGGUGAAACCCCAUCUCUACUAAAAAUACAAAAAUUAGCCGGGCGUGGUAGCAGGCACCUGUAAUCCCAGCUACUCGGAAGGCUGAGGCAAGAGAAUUCGCCUGAACCCAGAAGGCAGAGGUUGCAGUGAGCAGAGAUGGUACCUUUGCACUCCACCCUGGGCAACAGAGGGAGACUCC
rnacentral:lncRNA from 1 species